UGGGGAAUAUUGCACAAUGGGCGCAAGCCUGAUGCAGCCAUGCCGCGUGUGUGAAGAAGGCCUUCGGGUUGUAAAGCACUUUCAGCGAGGAGGAAGGUGGUGAACUUAAUACGUUCAUCAAUUGACGUUACUCGCAGAAGAAGCACCGGCUAACUCCGUGCCAGCAGCCGCGGUAAUACGGAGGGUGCAAGCGUUAAUCGGAAUUACUGGGCGUAAAGCGCACGCAGGCGGUUUGUUAAGUCAGAUGUGAAAUCCCCGGGCUCAACCUGGGAACUGCAUUUGAAACUGGCAAGCUAGAGUCUCGUAGAGGGGGUAGAAUUCCAGGUGGUAGCGGUGAAAUGCGUAGAGAUCUGGAAGGAAUACCGGUGGCGAAGGCGGCCCCCUGGACGAAGACUGACCGCUCAGGUGCGAAAGCGUGGGGAGCAAAACAGGAUUAGGAUAACCCUGGUAGUCCACGCUGUAAACGAUGUCGAUUUUGGAGGUUGUGCCCUUGAGGCGUGGCUUCCGGAGCUAACGCGUUAAAUCGACCGCCUGGGGAGUACGGCCGCAAGGUUAAAACUC
rnacentral:rRNA from 1 species